rnacentral:rRNA from 2 species
UGGAGCAAAUCCCAAAAAUAACGUCCCAGUUCGGACUGUAGUCUGCAACCCGACUACACGAAGCUGGAAUCGCUAGUAAUCGCGGAUCAGAAUGCCGCGGUGAAUACGUUCCCGGGUCUUGUACACACCGCCCGUCACACCAUGGGAGUCAGUAACGCCCGAAGUCAGUGACCUAACUGCAAAGAAGGAGCUGCCGAAGGCGGGACCGAUGACUGGGGUGAAGUCGUAACAAGGUAGCCGUAUCGGAAGGUGCGGCUGGAUCACCUCCUUUCUAAGGAA